UUUGUACAGAAGCUGACUCUGAGUAUAGUCCUGCUAGGCCUAAUAGCCGCUCCUGCCCUGGUGCAUGGAUCGUCUGAGGUCAAAGAAGAAAGUGCGAAUGCAAAGUUUUUCCUGAAGUCUUACCAGACGACGACCGUCACGACGCUGAGCAUCGUGCUGACGACCGUGCCUUACUUCUGUGCAAUUACAUCAACUUUAGCUGAGGGAGACGCACUUCAAGCCUGUACUGGGCGUCAGUUGAGGCGGAGGCGGAGGUAUAAUAUCAAGGAUUUCGACACAGACACAAAAGUGCGGCUGGAGGAGUCGACAGAUGACGACGUUCCGGAGGGGGCGGUGAAGGAGGGGGAGGGAACGAGAGGUUCUUUUUCACCCUGUGGCAGAGCUCGACCACCACUCUCACCGUGACGUCGACCUUGACCAACACCAGCAUCACCAUUUCGGCUUCGGCCUUUUGCACCUUCGCUAAUUACAACAUUCCUCUGUGCUAAUGAUUAGCGUAGCAGCUCCUGAAAGGCUGAAAAGAAUUCGCACGUUCAGUUUCCCUCUAUAGAUGUAUUAUGGAAUUCAGUAAGUUAGGUUAAGAAAGCUUACAAAUAUUGUAAAUCAGUGUGUUUUUCUUGCGACCCUGUACAGAAUAAAUAUAGCAGAAUA